rnacentral:rRNA from 1 species
UACGAAGGGGGCUAGCGUUGCUCGGAAUCACUGGGCGUAAAGGGCGCGUAGGCGGCCACCGCAAGUCAGUUGUGAAAUCUCUGGGCUUAACCCAGAAAGGUCAACUGAUACUGCGGGGCUAGAGUGCAGAAGGGGCAACUGGAAUUCUCGGUGUAGCGGUGAAAUGCGUAGAUAUCGAGAGGAACACCAGUGGCGAAGGCGACUACCUGGCCCAUUCUUGACGCUGAGGCGCGAAAGCUAGGGGAGCGAACGGG